GGCCUGUUGGUCUAGGGGUAUAAUUCUUGCUUAAGGUGCAACAUGUCCCAGGUUCAAAUACUGGAUGAGUCC